UGGGAAUCUUCGGCAAUGGACGAAAGUCUGACCGAGCAACGCCGCGUGAGUGAAGAAGGUUUUCGGAUCGUAAAACUCUGUUGUUAGAGAAGAAUGUUGAUUAGAGUGGAAAAUUAAUCAAGUGACGGUAUCUAACCAGAAAGGGACGGCUAACUACGUGCCAGCAGCCGCGGUAAUACGUAGGUCCCGAGCGUUGUCCGGAUUUAUUGGGCGUAAAGCGAGCGCAGGUGGUUUAAUAAGUCUGAUGUAAAAGGCAGUGGCUCAACCAUUGUGUGCAUUGGAAACUGUUAGACUUGAGUGCAGUAGAGGAGAGUGGAAUUCCAUGUGUAGCGGUGAAAUGCGUAGAUAUAUGGAGGAACACCGGUGGCGAAAGCGGCUCUCUGGACUGUCACUGACACUGAGGCUCGAAAGCGUGGGUAGCAAACAGGAUUAGAUACCCUGGUAGUCCACGCCGUAAACGAUGAGUGCUAGUUGUUUGGGGCUAUCCAGCCCUAAGUGACGCAGCAAACGCAUUAAGCACUCCGCCUGGGGAGUACGACCGCAAGGUUG
rnacentral:rRNA from 1 species